GCGGGUGUAGUUUAAUGGUAGAACUUCAGCCUUCCAAGCUGACUGUGAGGGUUCGAUUCCCUUCACCCGCU
rfam:Spiroplasma corruscae strain EC-1 chromosome, complete genome.